CUGGGACCUGGCUGGUUAUAUAACAAAAAGAGACGCUUUAUUUUUGAGAAACCAUUACUGCCUUUUAAGGAGUGUGUGCAUUGCCGCUUGCUGGAUGGGUUCCAUAUAAGAACCGGUGGUGGCGGGGGUGGUGGGGAGAGGGUAGUUGGAAGCCUGGGACAGGACUCGGAGUGGGAAGACUGGGCCAGAGGUCCAGAGAAGAAUUCCCAGCUCCCUGCCAGGGGAUUUGGCUGCAGAAUUCCUUAUGGAGGAGCGAAGUGUCCUUAAAAUGAAGGCUGUUUGGGUUCAUCUGUUUAACCAGCCCAGGCUCAACCAGCAGUUCAGCCAUGUAAUGUGCCUGCUCCCCCUUUGCCUUCUGCCACGAGUGGAAGCUUCCUGAGGCCUCAUCAGAAGCAGAUACUGGCUCCUUGCUUCCUGUACAGCCUGUGGAACCAUGAGCCAAAUAAACCUCUUUUCUUUAUAAAUUACCCAGCCUCAGAUAUUCCCUUAUUGGAGUGCAAAACAGACUAACACAGGAUCCAAUUUGACAGAAGAGGCCAGCGCCACGGGAGUGGUGUGGACUGCAGCUAUAAACAGGGGAUUGUCAGGGGCAAGGAGGUCACCAAAGGAGGGGUGCCCUGCAGAGGAUGUGCAAGAACUGAGCCCAGGGCCUCCCAGAAAUUUAGAGGAUGGAGACUGAGAGGGGCGGGGGGAAACCUGGGUCAGGUUGGAGUCUUACAGACCAAGUGGAAAGGCUUCUAAAG
rnacentral:lncRNA from 10 species